UUUUGAUUAUACUGCAUAUGUGACUUUUAAGGAAGCUUAUGCCCUGGGAACUGCAUUAUUGCUUAAUGGUUCGAUGAUUUUGGACCAAAGCAUUUCCAUUUCACGUUGGGAAGCUUAUACAGAUGACAAUAAUUGGAACAGGCAUAACGUUGAAGACAGUAUUACAUGCUCUCAAAUUGCUAUAACAUCUUACGGAUUGGGCGUGUUAAUGUGAUCGGAGACGUUAUCUUAUUCCUCGAAAAACUAUGUGUCAGCCUCUCAAGUGUUGUUUUCGCUUUCCUCAUGUUAGAAACUCAAAUACAAAUCCGCGCAUAACAAGAUUUCAUCUCCGUUCUUUCCUGUCAUGUUAUGUUUUCUAUUACCUAACAUCACCAUAAUCGAUAACAAUCACCAUAAAAAUACAUUCUGCAUAAGCAUGCUUAACACACAGUUUUAAUCUAAUCUCAAUUUCUCAUGUGGCAGAGGCGCUGUACGAUUCUUUC